GUCUGAUGUGAAUAUGCGGGGCUCAACUCCGUCUUGCGUUGGAAACUGCCAAACUAGAGUACUGGAGAGGUAGGCGGAACUACAAGUGUAGAGGUGAAAUUCGUAGAUAUGUGUAGGAAUGACGAUGGGGAAGAAAGCCUACUGGACAGAUACUGACGCUAAAGCGCGAAAGCGUGGGUAGCAAA
rnacentral:rRNA from 1 species